rnacentral:lncRNA from 1 species
AGCAAGACAGUAGGUGAAAGUCUAAGCUGCUUUGGAAGGAGUGAGUAACUCUGACUUUGAGAAGUGUCUGAGCUGAGGAAAGGUGGAACUGUGGCUUGGAGAGGAUCAGCAGAGGUAAAAUUUGAAGAGGGGUUCAAAGAAAAGGAAACAUCCUUGGGAUCUUCAGAGGAACCCAGGGAGAAACUCCCAUGUCUCUGCCAGAGGAACGCUGCUGUCUUUGGAAAGCAGCAUUGAAGUUGAAGAAGGCUGAUGGAAACCAAUGACAGGACAUCCUUUAUUGCUUCUCCUGCUGCAAUUUAUUUCCAACAUUGCCUUGUGUUCAACUGAGGGGAGAUGAACAGCUGGCCAUCAACCUCCCUAGCAGAUUGGUAACUUGUCUUGAAAGUGCCAGAGGACAGAUUUCACAGGCUCCAAAAUCCUGACAAGUGUUCAGCUACAAUUGUAUACCUCAGCUGGGUAGAUCUUUCACCUGGCUACUGAAUUAACCCAAAUAUGGAUAAGGUUUUCUUUCAGCUUUGUCUUGUCCUCUCUUUCCCUCCUUCCCUCCCACCCCCUCCAAAUUCCCUAAGUACAAACUAGUCCCUCUCUCUUAUGCAAAUCCUUAAACUGCAGCACCCAUCCUCCCACAGGUACCCAAAAGUCUAAAGGCCAAACUGAGCCAUUUUUUUAAGAGCAGCUUGAUGGAAGCAAGAAUAUUACUUUGUCUGAGCUUUGGAUUUGCAAGUUUAAAUCUUCUUUAGUGUCAGGUGCAUCCAACAAGAUAAGGGUUUUAAGUGUAUUUCAUGGUAGAAAUAUUCUGAGAUUAAUUUAAAGUAUCUUAUUGAACUCAAUAUUUAUAAAUCUCAUUAUCAUUACUAUUCCUCUUCCAACACUUGUCUUUUUAAAAAUUGUGAAACUAUUUU